CUACGGGUGGCAGCAGUGGGGAAUAUUGCACAAUGGGGGAAACCCUGAUGCAGCAACGCCGCGUGGAGGAUGACGCAUUUCGGUGUGUAAACUCCUUUUAUAUAGGAAGAUAAUGACGGUACUAUAUGAAUAAGCACCGGCUAACUCCGUGCCAGCAGCCGCGGUAAUACGGAGGGUGCAAGCGUUACUCGGAAUCACUGGGCGUAAAGCGCGCGCAGGCGGCCCCUUAAGUUGGAUGUGAAAGCCUACGGCUUAACCGUAGAACUGCAUCCAAAACUGAGGGGCUAGAGUCUGGGAGGGGAAGAUGGAAUUAGUUGUGUGGGGGUAAAAUCCGUAGAGAUAACUAGGAAUACCAAAAGCGAAGGCGAUCUUCUGGAACAGUACUGACGCUGAGGCGCGAAAGCGUGGGGAGCAAACAGGAUUAGAUACCCCCGUAGUC
rnacentral:rRNA from 1 species